UCCCCGCUCCCCAGCCUCCCCCGAACAAAACACAGAGAACAUCAAAUGAGGCGACUGAGGCGGCAGCGGUCGUAACAGGCUGCGUUUAGUGGUUCUUUUUUUUUUUUUAUGUACAAGAAAAAUGAAUUUUUUUGUUUUUUCAUCUUUUGUGUUUUUGUUUGUUUUUUAUUACUUUUAAAGCUUCUCCCUCCCCACUCCCAAAAAGUGCAUUUUUAUCAGUUUUUUUUUUUUUUAAAUCUCCCACACUUUAUAAAGACUCUCAAUACAGUCUCUGGAAUGUCUAUCUGUCUGUGCUCUGUACCCUGAGGGCGCAGCCCCGGCGAGGGAUGGGGGUCUCCCUGCCUGGACCUCACUCCCGCUCUCUUGCACACACGCACACACGCGUCCACGCAACUUCACCAUGAGAAUGGAAAUAACAAUUUCGCAUUGUUUUUCUUUUUUUUUUUUCUCUUUUUUUUUUUGUACCAGGCAGUUAAAAAAAAAACACCCCAAAAAAAGAAAACACAAAAAACCCCAAACAACCAAACAAAAAAGCUUUGAGCUGUGUCCUUUCAUAUGGAGUCAACACGACCCUCCUCAAAUAUCAUUUUUUUUUGUUUGUUUGUUUCCUGAAACGCGAGAAUUCAGCAGGUAUCUUUGGCAACACUUUAUCACGACCUUAAUUUAAAGAAUAAAAAUAAAAUCGAUUCACGUCUAUAUACAGUAUGUGAUUGCGCGGAGUCUGGGGAGGGCGGGGCUGGGCUGGGGGGGUCCCGGCUCUGGGCCCAUGCAGAGGCUGUGGCCCCCAGGACGGGCGGGUAGUUAAGGCAAAGUGGGCGGGCAGGACAGGCGAAGCUGAGUGCGGAGCUAGGAACGAGGGUUUAGUGCAAUCCCCGAGGUCUGUGUAAGUGUCGCGGUGGGCCGCAGCCCUUGUUCCUACGGAAGUCCCAGAGGGCUCCACCCCCCAAGUCCGGUCGCCCCCACUGGCUAGGACGACAGCUGUGAUUUUAGAGUUGGUUUUAUUGCGAGGGGGUGCAUGGAUAGGGGAAGGUGGAAAGAGGGCUCACCCCUCAGGGG
rnacentral:lncRNA from 1 species